rnacentral:rRNA from 1 species
UACGUAGGGUGCGAGCGUUGUCCGGAAUUACUGGGCGUAAAGAGCUCGUAGGUGGUUUGUCGCGUUGUUCGUGAAAACCGGGGGCUUAACCCUCGGCGUGCGGGCGAUACGGGCAGACUGGAGUACUGCAGGGGAGACUGGAAUUCCUGGUGUAGCGGUGGAAUGCGCAGAUAUCAGGAGGAACACCGGUGGCGAAGGCGGUGGUCUGGGCCGGUACUGACGCUGAGGAGCGAAAGCGUGGGGAGCGAACAGG